rnacentral:tRNA from 1 species
GCGGCCGUGGCAGAGCGGCUAUGCGCGAGGAUGUGGCCCUCGUACACACCGGUUCGAAUCCGGUCGGUCGCC